AGAGCAUGGCAGGCGUGGGGGACGUGCCCCGAAGACCCGGGGACCCACACAUCUGGACAUUGGAGGAGCAUUCUCGGAACUUGACGUUGGGCAAACGAGGAAGCAAGCCGCUCUGCCCCAGAACUUCGCCAUUUUCUGCCUCUCCUCGUGCCUCAGCAGCGCUCACGGACGGAAUGCUGAGGGCUCUCCCUGCGGUCACAACUCUGUGUUCGGCUUAAUGAUACGGGGAACUGCAGAUGAGGUCAGCGGGAGAGAAGAGGUCACGACCCGGUGACGUGCUGCCUUAACUCCUAGAUGCUUCACGCUAUUCGCGCCUACAUUUAAUGAAGGCAGCGCCAUGCCUUAAAAUACAUCUAAAAAUAAAUGUGUCCCACUCUC